GGAGGGGGUAGGGGAAGAGGGGAAAUUGUUCUGGUUUCCUCUAGGGAAGGGUUGGAGGGGGAAGAUCACGCUGGUAUUUGAAUUCGCGAUUCUGAGGGGGUCUUCAGGAUAUUCAGGUGGAAAUGUUUGGGGGGCAGCUGUGAAAACGAAGUGAGAUGACCUCCUAAUUAUAAAAGGGAUCUGGAAACAUAGUUGAGGAGCCGCGCCAACCAGGCUUCUCAUGAGCCCUACGCAUCCUUAAAGCUCCUGGGAGAACCUCUCCCAAUCCGUUAGCAUGGCACAUAGUGCCCUCUCGUGGCAAUACGGUGCAACUGCAGCGGAGCCUACCGCCUAGAUAGAAAGUAUCUUUUUGAAUCUUGAUAGGGGACAGUUCUGCCGCUUAGCCUGAGAAGGAAAUCUGACACUGACACUGACUCGCCCAAGUGAGGCCUGGGUGCUCAAGGGUCCAGGGAAGCGGACUGCUUCCUUGGCAGGUGUUGUGAGCCUAGGAGGCACCUGUGGGACAGCAUGACUGAGAUAAGGCAAGGCAGUCAAUGGUCCAUAGAGAAGUGAGAACACCAUGUAUACGGAAACUAUUUUGGGGUCACCCUCAGGCUCCCACAUUUCCUUUCAACUAUUAACGUACAGCUAUUAAUAUUUAAUUUUCCAGCCAGGCAGCUUUAGUUUAAGGAAAUUGUCUACCUGGAUGGUCCCUAAGCAACAUUACUACCUGGGAAACAUUUUGCUUUUGCUUUGGGCUUCUUUCUUCUUCUUUAAAAAAAAAACCCUAUUUAGGGGCAUCUGGGUGGCUCAGUGGGUUAAAGCCUCUGCCUUCGGCUCAGGUCAUGAUUCCAGGAUCCUGGGAUCAAGCCCCGAGUAUGGCUCUCUGCUCAGCAGGAAGCCUGCUUCCCCACCCCCCUCUGCCUGCUUCUCAUCUCUGUCUGCCAAAUAAAUAAAUAAAAUCUUAAAAAAAACCCUAUUUAUUUAAUUAAAGUAGGCUCCACACCCAUUGCGUGGCUCGAACUCAAAACCCUGACAUCAAGAGCUGCCAUGCUCCACUGACCCAUCAACCUGGAGGAAAACAUCUAGUCAUUCCUGGGCACUUUAUUUGUACUCCUUUUCAAGAGAUUGUGGUUGGGUUUCCUUUUUUCUUUAAUAUUUCCCAACGAUGUGUUGUUGGUAUAUAUGCAAUCUAUUGAUCUUGUGUAUUUGCUUGUCACCCACAUUUCUGAAGUCUUUGACUUACUUCAGGGAAUUGGCCAUUGAUUUUCUUUAUUUUUUUUACCUUUUUUAAAAGAUUUUGUUUAUUUAUUUGACAGAUUACAUGUAGGCAGAGAGGCAGGCAGAGAGAGAGGAUGAAGCAGGCUCCCUGCUGAGCAUAGAGCCUGAUGCGGGGCUUGAUCCCAGGACCCUGAGAUCAUGACCUGAGCCGAAGGCAGAGGCUUAACCCACUGAACCACCCAGGCGCCCCUGACAUUGAUUUUCUUGAGUGUUGUGGGUAGGAAGGCAGAGCGUCUGCUAAUAAGCGUCAGUUCAUUUCAUGGUGGUUAAUAUUUGUACUCAUUUCCUUUUGUGUUAAGGAAUUAACUUAGAAGUUCCAGAAAAAUCCUGAAUAGUUGUGGAAAUAGGGAUUCUGUUUUAUUCUUGACAUUAAUGGGAAUGUGCUAAUGUUUCAUUAAGUAAGGUAACUCCCUGAAGUUGGCACUGGGGUUUGAAGUUCAAAGCCAAACGCAAGCCCUUGAACCAGAGCAGGCCUGAGAGCAACGGAUCAGGUCUGCAGAAGGAAACAAACUCUGGGGCAGCUACCGGCAGGAGCAGGGCGAAGGGGGCUUCACGGAAGCGUUCAGUAGAUCUUUUCCUCUCUCUGAUCGAAAGCAGUAAUUCACCAACCAUGUUGAAAGCAUUUCUGCUUCUCGGAGCUCUGCUGUUGUCAGGAAUAUAAACCCAGCCACCUUGGCUUCCUGGGUUCCAGGCGUGCUUGUACGUUUCCUCGCGCUCAGGCGUGGGGGAGACCCCGCCCAGGGGAGCGCGACCAGCCUGCACCUUUGUCUUUCCACCACGAGGGGGCGCGUGGACCACGCCGAAGCCGCGUCUGGAGGGCGGGGGAGGAGAAGCGUCUGGAAGGAGCUGCUCGUCCGAGAGUGUGCAGGGAGGGUGGGGUCCGGUAGGGGGAGGAUGCCAACGUGGGGGCGAAACUGGGACCUUAGCUUGCCCCUAGGGCCGGUGGGAGAGAAGACAGAGAUCUCAGCCGUAAGAGCGAGGAAGGACGCAGCAGAAAGGACUAGCACGGACUGGUUUGGAGGCUGGCUCUGGGCGGGAGUUACACUGGGAACCCGGGCGGGGACUGGGAGUAUUCUAUUCCGGGUGGGUCAUCUUGAAAAUGUGUCCUCAGGUGAGAAGCAGGAAGCUUCCAGGGGCAGUAGGGAUCAGGUGGCGUGAGAGCCAUCCCGGGGGGGCUCAGGCUGGAGGCUGCGUGAGACACAGCCUGCCAGCAGGGGACCUCCGGAAAUGACUCAGAUCCAAGACCUGGGACUCGAAUUUGAGUCACCGCUCCAGUCUUCUCCGCGCAGCUCAUGGCUAACCCCUCGGCAAACUCAGGGCUCGUUGGGUCCAUCUGCGAAUCCUUCAGGCUUGAUGUCCAGAAUGUAUCCUGAACUCUGGCUGCUUGCUACCGGCACAGCUGCGCCCAUCCCAGUCUAUUCCAGUGCUAGUCCUUCCCCCGGAUUUGUUUCUGGUCUCCCUGUUUCCAUCCUGUGUCACCAUUGUCUCUUCCUCACACAGCAGCCAAAGCGAUGUUUUAACACCCUAAAGCAGGGGCGCUUGGGUGGCUCAGUGGGUUAAUCCUCUAACCUCGGCUCAGGUCAUGAUCUCAGCAUCCACGAAUUGAGUCCCUGCUCAGCGGGGAGGAUACUUCUCCCUGUCCCUCUGGCCCUCUCCCUGCUCCUCCUCUCUCUCGCUCUCAAAUAAAUAAGAUCUUUAAAAAAGAAAACAAAACAAAAAACCAAAAAACUAAAGUAAAUCCUAUUGCCAUCUUGGUUAGAACCUACCAGGUGAGGCCAUUGGCAGUAGAAACUCCUUCCCAAGGCUAACCAUGCCUUCCUUACAGGAUCUGACCAUUACCAGCCUUUUCAACAUCUUCUGACUCUCCUCGUGUUCAUGAUGGUCCCACCCACUGGUCCUUAUUCUGCCUUUCAAACACCAUGAUUGUUCCUGCCCUAGGGACUGGGCAUUUGCUGUGCCCUCUGCCCCAAAUGCUCUUUCCCCAGAUACACCCAUCUUUGAUUCUUUUCCUUUCGCUUGGAAAAGGAACAAAAAGGAGAAUGGUCUGGGAUGCUGAGAUGGUGUGGUCAUUGGCUUUACUCACUGUCUUUCUGGAAAUCUUCCCUGAGAUUUCUGAGAGACAUCACAGCAUGGACGAGUCUAUGUUGGAACUAGUGAUCAUGGUGGUGGUCCCAGGAGGAGGUAAGAUGUGGGUUGAGCCUUGAUGGAGGGUAUUGUUUUAAUAAGCAGAAGUGGGGUAAACUCCAUGCAGGGAGGGGAGGCACCCACUUGUUCUGCUUGGUCUUUAUUAGAGUACCAAAGCAGAAAAUAAAUACUCAACAUAGAAUUCUUGAGUGAAUGCACCAAUACAUGAGCAAAGGAAAUGGAGAACUCUAAAUGUAUCUGUUUGUCAAGUUCUAGUGACAAGCCGGUUUGAAAGGCAGCGUUCAGCCAAAUUGGAGAGGACCUUAACAGCGACUACAGUUAAGUUCUGUACCCUGGUGACAUCUCCUGCAUAAACCCAAGCCCUCCAUCCUUAAUGUCUAGCUGGUGAAUUGUCUCCAGAGGAAUCUUCGAGAGAAACAAGGUAGUACUAAGUGACUGAGGAAUGGCCAAGGAGAGAGUUUGUGGCAAUGAGGUCCUCCUGGGGUGGGACAUCCUCAAAGAGCACUUGAACUUGGUCCUGCCUGCAGGAGAAUCUGUUGCUGGUUCUCUCUCUCUCUCUCUCUUUUUUAAAAGAUUUUAUUUAUUUAUUUGACAGACCGAGAGAGAUCACAAGUAGGCAGAGAGGAAGGCAGAGGGGGAGGGGGAAGCAGGCUCCCCGCUGAGCAGAGUCCCACGUAGGGCUUGAUCUCAAGACCCUGAGAUCAUGACCUGAGCCGAAGGCAGAGGCUUAACCCACUGAGCCACCCAGAUGCCCUCACUGGUGGUGCUCGUGGAAGGAUCCGCAUUUGCUCCUCUAGGCCCCUCAUCCUCCCUGGUGUGGCUGGUGAUGCCCACCGCCCAUCCCCACCAUCACUCAUGUCCCUUGUCAGGCCCCUGUGGCCCUCCCCUCCGCCACUCACGCCCCACUGGUGAAGAACAAUCUUUUCUCUCUUUUUGGCAGCUGUCUUAGCCUUCACUUCCUUCUCUGAAAUCUGAAUCCCUCCAGGAAACUUCUCUGGGUGUCUGAGUGGCUCUGGGUCCCUCUCCCCUUCCCCCAGAGCUGGCCAGGACUGGGGUCUCUAGAGGUUCCCACACCCUGCCUACCCCAACCCAUCUCUCCUGCUGUGGGGGGGUGGGAACUCGCAUUCCAGUCUGCCUUAGCUUGGUCUGUUCCUGUGGACUUUGGGUUUCGUUAUUGAUCUGAAAUUUUUCUCCUGUCAUGUGGUUUUUUCAAAUUUGUUCAAGGGGCCAGAAGUUGCUUUGAAAUACCACUGGCUGAAUUGUUUCCUUCUGAGUUAUUUGGUUUCUCUUCCAUGACCAAGUAUCAAAGACAGUAUUUUCACAUGUUGUGCACCCAAUUAGGCAUGAGAAAAACUACGAAUGAGAGAGAGAAGCAAAAGUUCCAUGGGGCUUAACCAGGCAAGUUUCUCCCUGGGGAGCUCAAGAUAAGGACAGAAUCUGAACUUAGGUACCUUCCUUGAGGGUCAGGAGUGAGCCGGCAAUGUCCUUCCCUGUUCUCAUUCUUGUCCUGAAUGCAGAGCUUUUAAGAAUUAGUUUUAGUGGGUUAGGGGCGCCUGGGUGGCUCAGUGGAUUAAGCCUCUGCCUUUGGCUCAGGGUCUUGGGAUCGAGCCCCACAUAGGGCUCUCUGCUCAUCAGGGAGCCUGCUUCCCCCCUGCCCCACCCUCUGCCUACUUGUGAUCUCUCUCUCUCUGUCAAAUAAAUAAAUAAAAUCUUAAAAAAAAAAAAGGAAUUAUUUUUAGUGGGUUAAGUAGGAUUCUGAGGAACAUCAUUCCAUACUUUGAAGCCCUCUUUCUCUUCCACUGGGUCUUUGACAUGCUAUGUCCCCUCUUGUCAAGGUUUCUUGACCCUCCUCUUGCUCAUUGCUGGUGAGUAGAACACAGGGAGCACUGAACACUUAGUCCCGGGAGCAGGUGAUCCCUCCGAGUAUAUCAGGGCUUUCCUCCUCCAGGCAGGCCUUAGCCACUUGACUGGGAUGUUCUCAGAUUCCCACUUCUGAUUGGCGUCCAGGUCUACAGGGUCCAAGGUCAUGCAGGCUAGGAUUUCUUUGUUGAAUUUGAUGAAUCCAUUCAUUGGGGUAGGUGUAUCUCCAGAACACUACCCUGCUUUUUAAAUUUUUUACUCUAGAGCUCUCAGUUCAAAUUCUGCAGAAGGAGCAAGACCCUGAAUGUAGCCCCUGCUCCGCCGCCAGCUAGUCUGGCCUCAUUUCCAUCUCUGCUGUGUUUCUUAACAUUUUUUUAUUAGUGAUUUUAGCCUAUAAAGCUAUAAAAGCAGUUGACGGUUGAGUUAGUUUUUUGUUUAAAAUAAAUUUCCGGGGGUGCCUGGAUGCUUUAGUCAGUUGAACAUCCAACUCGUGGAGGGUCAUGAUCUCAGGGUUGUGAGAUUUAGUCCCAAGUCAGGCUCUGCACUCAGUGUGGAGUCUGCUUCAGAUUCUCUCUCCCUCUUCCUAACUCUCUCUCUCUCUCUUAAAUAAAUAAAUAAACAAAUAAAAUCUUUUAAAAAAUAAUAAAAUAAAUGUUCAGUGGGUGCCUGGGUGGCUCAGUCAGUGGAGCACGUGACUCUUGAUCUCAGGGCUCUAAUUUUUUUUUAAGAUUUUAUUUAUUUAUUUGACAGAUGGAGAUCACAGAGAGGCAGAGAGAAUGGAGGAAGCAGGCUCCCUGCUGAGCAGAGAGCCUGAUGCAGGACUCGAUCCCAAGACCCUGGGAUAAUGACCUGAGCCAAAGGCUGAGGCUUAACCCACUGAGUUACCCAGGCUCAGGCGCCCCACCUUUCUAUGUUCUAUUCAACAGCAACCUCCUCACCAAUCAUAUUAAUCUUGUCUCAACACAUGCAGAGAGUCACCAAAGAGAACUGUGGGAGCGCCUUUUGGAUGUGACCCUGCCUCACCAGUAGGAGCAAUCAUUUUGUGAGCGGCAGAGCUCGCACCGACAACUGGUUAACCCAGCACAGAGGUGGGGGUGGCACGGUCAAGGGUGCAUUGGGGCAGGGCAAUCUGCCAUGGGCCUUGAGUUUCCUGCAUGUUCUUACAACGCCAAGCCUUGUGUGAUCUUUAUCUGGGCCAUAUCUCAGGGCAGUGUUUGCAGUGAGCGACCUUAAGAGAUGACUUUUGGAGAAAGAUGGGAUUCAUGAUAACUCACUGGAAAAGCAUGCAUUCCUCAAGGUCAGUGUUCCUUGACUGUACCCCAAGCCUACUGCCUGUGGAGCAUCCGCUUGCAUUCCUUUAGAGUUACUGUCUGGGAUUUAGGGGUGCAGGGCAACCCUGGUCAACAUGAUGCUCAUACUGCUUGCCUUGCCAUGACCCACAGUCCUUUGUCUAUGUCCCAGAGUUCUCCUGUCUUCUGCCAGCAUCCAUGAAACAAUAACAGGUUAAUAUAUGGGCUCCAGUAGGGUUAAAUCCCAAACUCUGACAAGCCCUUGCCAGAGGGGAUGGUCCCAUGUCCCUCCCGUCUGCAUUUGGAUCCCUGCUGGCAGGGGGGCUUCUGUGUGCCGAGGUGACCAACCCGCCUGUGUGCUCCAGUCUUGGUAGAGGGGGGUUGAGCAGGGAAGGAAGUGAGCAGCACUGAUAUGCUGGUGCAAUUUUGGGAAAGCUGGUCUACCACCGCAGGGCGAACAGGGUGAUCAAGCCCUCACUGCUGGCCCCCUGGAGCUGUGGCGGACCUGCACACCUAGUGUCCUUACUUCUGGUCCAAGCCAGACAUUGCCACUCAGAUGGGUGUUUCUUGAGCCUUAGAGGUGAUAUCCCAUUUGCCACAAGAGGGCGCUUACGCGUGGCUGGGAGAGAGACAUCAGACCUGCGGACGCUCCUCUGUCAGUUGAACAGAAUUUAUUUCCUUGGAUAUCUUGUGAAUAUUGACGGAACCCGACACAACAAUAUUCGUAGGUGUUCCAAAACCAAAUAAAAACCUAUUCUUAAUCUUUAUAUUACUUGCAAUUUUUCUUUGCAUUCGACUGAAGAGUUCAACUGUCCAGUUGUGGGGUGGUAGAGUGAUUAUGUGAGCUCCUUUAUUCUUUUACUAUUCUCCCCCAUUCCCAAUUUCCAGACCUCCUCAUCAACCCCACCCAUUUUCAAUAACACUCCGUUAUUUUAUCCUCUCUGAACAGACACUCUCUGGGAUCAAUAUGAUCCCUAACUAGGGCUGCCUCUUCACUCUUUCUGAUUAUUCAAAACAGUAACGUUUAACACGGUGGAAGUUUUGCUUAGUGAUCCUGGUUUCAUGGACAACCUGUCUGCGUUUGAUCCCAGCUCACCACCACCUACUAAAUUUGCGACCUUCAGCAAAUUAGAUGUUCAUGUGAUGAUGGGUGUAGGACUGGCUGAGCGCUCCCGGUCGGGCAGUAUCCCAGGUGCAGUGCUGCUGUAUUCCGUUCUCUGAGCAGGUGUCUUCCUUCUUGUUCUGCCGCUUUCCAUCUGCUGACCCCUCCUCAGCCCUUGCCCGUAGUUGUUUCUCACUCAAAACCA